rnacentral:rRNA from 1 species
UACGUAGGGCGCAAGCGUUGUCCGGAAUUAUUGGGCGUAAAGAGCUCGUAGGCGGCUUGUCACGUCGGGUGUGAAAGCCCGGGGCUUAACCCCGGGUCUGCAUUCGAUACGGGCUAGCUAGAGUGUGGUAGGGGAGAUCGGAAUUCCUGGUGUAGCGGUGAAAUGCGCAGAUAUCAGGAGGAACACCGGUGGCGAAGGCGGGUCUCUGGGCCGAUACUGACGCUGAGGAGCGAAAGCGUGGGGAGCGAAUGGG